rnacentral:lncRNA from 1 species
AAUCCGUCUGGUACGGUGAGAGUCAGUCUGAAUACCGAAAAAGAAUGUUAACCUGGAUACCAAAAUAAAUGGUAACACAGAAAUAACCAUGGCCUGAAUGCCGUUCAUCAGUCUGAAUACUGGAAAUGACUUCGAUCUGAACAUCGGGAGAUAUGAGAUUAUUAAUAUCGGUCUGAACACCGAGAGGCUGGCCUGAAUGCCACAAGUUGCAUCGACCUGAACGUCGGAAACUUCUUCGAUCUGAACAUCGGAAAACUGGCCUGAAUGCCACAAGUUGCAUCGACCUGAACGUCGGAAACUUCUUCGAUCUGAACAUCGGAAAACUGGC